ACGGUGAAAGUGUUUGCUGUGAACCUCUGUCCAAAAACUAAUAUAGGCAACGUUAUUUGCAUAUAGCUUAGACCCCUAUGUCUAAGGAUCGUUCCAUAUUCACAUGGACUCCUCUCUCACUUGUCUUUUAUCUCAUCGACGUCAAAGCCUCAAAAUAAAGUGGCUUUUCAACAGCAAGAAAUUUCCACCCUUAGCAAGAGCGUAAGGAUUUCCAGUUCCUCCCUCGUGGCCACCUUCGGAUAUUUCCACCAUGGCGACCCAACGCGUCCUCCAAAAAGCCUUCUUCCUCAAACUCACUCUCAGGGCGACGAGGCUACGUGGAAACGGACAUGGGGAUUGACUGCGUUUCCUUUGACGAUGGAAAUACUCGCCCCGUCGGCAGUCCCGGGCCUCGAUUUCGCUAGAAAUCGAGAAGACGGGCGACGAGACAAAGUGCACUCUCGCUGCGAAGUCGAGGGCGAGAGGGAGCAUAAAAAGGUCGCCAUCUCGUCACCGAAGUCGGGGUAGGAACCGACGCUACCAUCAGAGAAGAACUCCUGGACACGCCCCGUAUUCCGAAGGCAUGGUGGCCGGCUGGCGGUUCCUGACGAUGAAUAUCUAUCGUCCAAUCGAGUGCGGAAGACUAGUACUCGUCAACGGCACGGUGGUAGGACGUGUUGAGCGCCGUCAUAUCAGAUUGAAGGCCUGCAAUUCAUGCAUCUGCGUCAGGAGCUCCGGGCCCAGCGCGGCCUCUCCCAA